CCUACGGGUGGCAGCAGUGGGGAAUAUUGGACAAUGGGGGGAACCCUGAUCCAGCCAUGCCGCGUGUGUGAAGAAGGCCCUCGGGUUGUAAAGCACUUUCAGUGAGGAAGAACGCCUGGUGGUUAAUACCCAUCAGGAAAGACAUCACUCACAGAAGAAGCACCGGCUAACUCCGUGCCAGCAGCCGCGGUAAUACGGAGGGUGCGAGCGUUAAUCGGAAUUACUGGGCGUAAAGCGCGCGUAGGUGGCUUGAUAAGCCGGUUGUGAAAGCCCCGGGCUCAACCUGGGAACGGCAUCCGGAACUGUCAAGCUAGAGUGCAGGAGAGGAAGGUAGAAUUCCCGGUGUAGCGGUGAAAUGCGUAGAGAUCGGGAGGAAUACCAGUGGCGAAGGCGGCCUUCUGGACUGACACUGACACUGAGGUGCGAAAGCGUGGGUAGCAAACAGGAUUAGAUACCCCAGCAGUC
rnacentral:rRNA from 1 species